rnacentral:rRNA from 1 species
UACGUAGGGCGCAAGCGUUGUCCGGAAUUAUUGGGCGUAAAGAGCUCGUAGGCGGUCUGUCGCGUUGGCUGUGAAAACCCGAGGCUCAACCUCGGGCCUGCAGUCGAUACGGGCAGACUAGAGUGCUGUAGGGGAGACUGGAAUUCCUGGUGUAGCGGUGAAAUGCGCAGAUAUCAGGAGGAACACCGGUGGCGAAGGCGGGUCUCUGGGCAGUAACUGACGCUGAGGAGCGAAAGCGUGGGGAGCAAACAGG